AUGGCCGACGCGGGUCUAAGUAUAGUAUCUGUUCGUAUCAGCUUAAUAUCUGAUACGGGUUGUAUUUAGACCCAAAAUGUUAAACUUAUUUUUGGAAGUUGGCGGAGUGCUUGAAGCCUGCUUCACCUCCGCCGUGGGUCGGCCCGGUAUAGCACAAUCUUUGGGAUUUUUGGUCUACGGACA